ACCCGGAGGAAGGUGGGGAUGACGUCAAAUCAUCAUGCCCCUUACGAUUUGGGCUAGCACACUUGCUACAAUGGACAAUACAAAGGGCAGCUAACCCGCGAGGUCAUGCAAAUCCCAUAAAGUUCUUCUCAGUUCGGAUUGUAGUCUGCAACUCUACUACAUGAUGCUGGAAUCGCUAAUAAUCGUUCAUCAGCAUGCUACGGUGAAUACGUUCCCGGGUCUUGUACACCCCCCCCGUCACACCAAGAGUUUUUGUAACACCCGAAGCCGGUGGAGUAACCAUUUAUGGAGCUAGCCGUCGAAGGUGGGACAAAUGAUUGGGGAGAACUCAUAACAAGGUAGCCGUAUCGGAAGGUGCGGCUGGAUCACC
rnacentral:rRNA from 1 species